rnacentral:tRNA from 1 species
UCUAAUAUGGCAGAAAAUAUGCAAUGAACUUAAGAUUCAUUUAUAAAGAAAUAUUCUUUUAUUAGAA